CCCUUAGAUGUUCUGGGCCGCACGCGUGCUACACUGAGCGGGCCAACGGGUGAGGAUGUGCGAAAGCGCUUCCCAAUCUCUAAAUCCGCUCGUGCUGGGGAUCGAGGCUUGCAAUUAUCCCUCUUGAACGAGGAAUACCUUGUAAGCACGGGUCAUCAUCCCGUGCUGAAUACGUCCCUGCCCUUUGUACACACCGCCCGUCGCUCCUACCGAUUGAGUGGUCCGGUGGGGCCUUGGGAGGGCUAAGUGGGCUGUGUUUCACAGACUACCUGGCCCGAACCUGGUCAAACCUUAUCACUUAGAGGAAGGAGAAGUCGUAACA
rnacentral:rRNA from 1 species